GAUGAACGCUGGCGGCGUGCCUAAUACAUGCAAGUCGAGCGAACGGACGAGAAGCUUGCUUCUCUGAUGUUAGCGGCGGACGGGUGAGUAACACGUGGAUAACCUACCUAUAAGACUGGGAUAACUUCGGGAAACCGGAGCUAAUACCGGAUAAUAUUUUGAACCGCAUUGUUCAAAAGUGAAAGACGGUCUUGCUGUCACUUAUAGAUGGAUCCGCGCUGCAUUAGCUAGUUGGUAAGGUAACGGCUUACCAAGGCAACGAUGCAUAGCCGACCUGAGAGGGUGAUCGGACACACUGGAACUGAGACACGGUCCAGACUCCUACGGGAGGCAGCAGUAGGGAAUCUUCCGCAAUGGGCGAAAGCCUGACGGAGCAACGCCGCGUGAGUGAUGAAGGUCUUCGGAUCGUAAAACUCUGUUAUUAGGGAAGAACAUAUGUGUAAGUAACUGUGCACAUCUUGACGGUACCUAAUCAGAAAGCCACGGCUAACUACGUG
rnacentral:rRNA from 1 species